rnacentral:rRNA from 1 species
UGGGGAAUUUUGCACAAUGGGGGAAACCCUGAUGCAGCGACGCCGCGUGAUUUAGAAGGCCUUCGGGUUGUAAAAAUCUUUUCUAUGGGAAGAAAAUGACAGUACCAUAGGAAUAAGGACUGGCUAAUUACGUGCCAGCAGCCGCGGUAAUACGUAAGGUCCGAGCGUUGUCCGGAAUCAUUGGGCGUAAAGGGUACGUAGGCGGUUUUUUAAGUCAGGUGUCAAAGCGUGGAGCUUAACUCCAUUAAGCACUUGAAACUGAAAGACUUGAGUGAAGGAGAGGAAAGUGGAAUUCCUAGUGUAGCGGUGAAAUGCGUAGAUAUUAGGAGGAAUACCGGUGGCGAAGGCGACUUUCUGGACUUUUACUGACGCUCAGGUACGAAAGCGUGGGGAGCAAACAGG